rnacentral:rRNA from 1 species
GUGGGUUUGUAAGUCGGGCGUGAAAUCCCUCGGCUUAACCGAGGAACUGCGUCCGAAACUGCAUGGCUUGAGGACGGAAGGGGAAGGUGGAAUUCCUGGUGGAGCGGUGAAAAGCGUAGAUAUCAGGAGGAACGCCGGUGCGAAAGCGGCCUUCUGGUCCGUUUCUGACGCUGAGGUGCGAAAGCUAGGGGAGCAAACAGGAUUAGAUACCCUGGUAGUCCUAGCCGUAAACGAUGGGCACUAAGUAGAGGGG